GCUGCGGUGCGCGGGGCCUCACCCACCAUCAGCCCCUCAGAGCUCCGUUCCGGGGGAAGGCCGGGUGUGAGGCCGCCCCUUCCCUUCCCCGCCUGGCCCGGCGGGGCUCGACAUGGCUGCCCCCUCAUUCUUGGGAUGGGAUUUCAGCACGCAGCAGCUGAAAGUCAUUGCUAUUGAUGAACAUCUGAGAGUCAUUUAUGAGGAUAAUGUUAAUUUUGAUAAAGACCUUCCAGAAUUUAAGACUCAAGGUGGAGCCCAUGUUCACGGUGACCGACUGACAGUCACUUCUCCUGUGCUAAUGUGGGUCAAGGCUCUGGAUAUGAUUUUGGAAAAGAUGAAGUCUUCGGGAUUUAACUUCUCUCAAGUCAGAGCUUUGUCUGGUGCUGGCCAGCAACAUGGAAGUGUAUAUUGGAAGAAAGGAAGCAUUCAAAUCUUAAAAAAUGCAUCGCCCAAACUGCCUUUACAUCAGGCACUGAAGGCUUGUUUUGCUAUCAGUGACAGCCCCAUCUGGAUGGAUUCUAGCACAGCUUCGCAGUGCAGCGCUCUGGAGAACGCUGUGGGAGGAGCACAGCGCUUAGCAAAUAUCACUGGUUCUCGAGCUUAUGAGCGUUUUACAGGAAACCAGAUAGCAAAGAUUUACAACCAGAAUCCUGAGGUCUACGCGCAAACUGAGAGGAUCUCUUUAGUUAGCAGCUUUGCGGCUUCCCUUUUCCUAGGAGCUUAUGCACCCAUUGAUUACAGUGAUGGUUCUGGAAUGAAUCUGCUGCAAAUUUGGGACAAGUCUUGGUCGGCAUCCUGCCUUGAUGCUUGUGCACCAGAAUUAGUGGAGAAACUGGGAAACCCUGUGCCAUCCCAUUCAGUUCUGGGAUCCAUUUCUCCAUAUUAUAUUCAGCGUUAUGGGUUUAGCCCAGACUGUAAAAUAGUAGCCUUUACAGGAGACAAUCCAGCAUCCUUGGCAGGGAUGAGGCUUGAAGAAGGAGAUAUUGCAAUUAGCCUUGGCACAAGUGACACAUUGUUUCUGUGGAUCAGGGAGCCAACUCCAGCCUUAGAAGGUCACAUCCUCUGCAAUCCUGUUGAUUCUCAAACAUACAUGGCACUUUUAUGUUUUAAGAACGGCUCUCUGAUGAGAGAGAGGAUCCGAAAUGAGUGUGCUUCAGGCUCCUGGGAUGAAUUCUCCAAAGCCUUAUCAUCUACUGUUGCUGGAAACAAUGGGAACUUAGGUUUCUACUUUGACGUGAUGGAAAUCACUCCUGAAGCAGUUGGGGUUCACAGAUUCAACAGUGACAACCAAAAGGUUUUGAACUUUCCAAAGGAGGUGGAAAUACGAGCCUUGAUUGAGGGGCAGUUCAUGGCCAAGAGGAUUCAUGCUGAAAAGCUGGGGUAUAAAGUCAUGCCACAAACAAGGAUUUUGGCUACAGGUGGAGCAUCCCAUAAUAAAAAAAUAUUACAGGUCCUGUCUGAUGUGUUCAAUGCUCCAGUGUACACUAUUGAUACUGCCAACUCUGCUUGUUUAGGAAGUGCUUACAGAGCAAUUCAUGGACUCGUAGCUGAGACAAAUGUGCCCUUGGCUGAUGUUGUGAAAUUAGCACCAGAGCCCAGAUUGGCUGUUACACCAACUGCUGGGGCUGAGGAGAUGCUGCUAUCAACUCUGCUUUUAUUGAGUACACUGUGUCUUAGUACUCUGCAAUGUAUCCAUCUGGUUAUCCUCUCUCACUCAGCAUCUGAUCAAUCAGAAGUCCUUGGUUACCUUCAGUGUGGGAUUCAUCCGACGAGUGUAGACUUCUGUCUCCUAUGAUAUGAAGAAAGGAACACAAGGAAAAGGAGUUCUUGGCUGCCAUUCAUCUUAUCGUAUGGCAGUUGUCUACAUCAGAGCAGGUGAGUUAUCUCCUGAGUGAGCUCUUUCUCCCUGCUGAGUAGGAGGGCUGUUGUAUGGAGAGAACACAAACAGUCAAUUUUUCACAUUGUGCCAAACUCUUGAAGACUUCAUUGAAAACUGAUUUCAACUUUGGAGGCAAGAGUUGUCCCCGGUGGCCACUGUACAACUAGAAUUUUUUCUUGUUCUAGCACUGCUCUGUUUUUCUGUCAAAUCCAUGUGAUUGACCUCUCCAGCCCCCUUCAGAUGGGACUCUUCAUGCACCUCCGUGGAGAUAUCCAGCAGACGUGGGUCAGGAGCUUUGUUAUAUUUCUGCUUUUUGUCCUUUUGUUGCAUGCCCUUGCUUGUGUUUAUUCCUGCAGGCUGGACUCUUUCAGGCAUUUGUAUUAUGCCUCUAAGCUCAUUUCUCUGCUAUAGUGAAAGGCAGCUCCCUUAAGACUUUGGCAAGCAUUGCACAAGAAAACAAAGGCCUGUUCAACUUGCUGCUGGGAGACAAUAUUUACUCUCUGACUGACAUGUGUGCACUUCCCUCAUGAAACUUCAGCUGUGUUGCAGUACUGGUGUACUGGAAGAUGGAAUUCUCCUUGAAAAUAAUCUAAAUCAUGUUGUAUAAAAGUAGGGCUUAGAGAAACAGGGCAGAAACAGAGCUAUUUCUUAGUUGAGGGCUUUCAUCUUAAUAUAAAACACAUUAGAGCAAACAGGUAAGAGGUAAAGGAUUCUUACACGCUUUGGUGUCACAGCUUAUGCCACCUGAGAACAUCUCUUCACACUUCUGCCAUAGCUUGUUAGGAUGGGACAUUCUCCUGUCACUCCUGGUGUUAUUUUGUUAGAUUCCUACCCCAGAUGACCCAACUUGAGUUGCUUACAGCGGAAAUACCCUUUUGGUCAAGAAAGAUAAUGUUAAAAGGCAAUCACACAUUUGCCCCACUUUUAGUUUCUCAGCAGAAUUAUUGUGGUACCUGCUGUUGUUCUUAGAAGAAAUCCCUACUCCAGCAGAGGGAAAAAGAAGACUUUGAAUGUAGCUUACCCAGCAUGCGAUUUAGUCAUCGCAGAAUCAUUUGAGUUGGAAGGGACAUUUAAAGAUCAUCUAUCCAGCUCUUCUGCAAUGUACAGGGACAUCUACAGCUCGAUCAGACAGUUCACGUGAGUGAAUAAGCAAAUAAACUGCAUUUCAGUAUUUUCCUUAGAUUACUUUUUUUCCCUCUCAGUAACUCUUGGCUCAGGAGAUACAUCCCUGGUGUUUUAUUUGAUUCCUUCUCACCAUAUUUGCAGCAUGGCAGACUCUCCGCAAGGUCUUUCCACAAAGGCUCGUUUUGCUAUUAGCCCAGUGAACGUAGGUUUUCCACUUUGAUCUGUACUGUGUGUGGUUUUGGCAUGAUUCUUAAAUGGACUGAUUAAACAACUGCUGCUAACAGCUUCCCCUGCCUUCAGCAGUCAGCUCCCAUUAUUCAGGGGCUUUCCAUAGCAAAAGGGAAGAGACAGCACUGGUACAAAAUGCUUACAUUAAAGGUCAGAAGAAAUGUCAGAAAACUCUUUCCCUUCCCUCUUGGUCCAGAAACAUUGCAGUAACUCAGUCACUAGAUAGGCAAUGUUGGAUUGUUCAUAGUGUGAGUGUUUUGAGCAAAAGGGAUGGAUGCCUGUAUGCUGAUGCUUAGCCAGAUUGUCUAGAUGAGAAAUCACUGAGCUGAGACUUGCUUGGUAAUUUACAUCUAGUUCUGUGUUUUAUAUAUCAAAGUCUGUGUUUUGCAGUUUACACUCUGAAUCUUUAAAUGAAGAAAUAAAUUAAAUUUCUCAGAUGAGUGAGAAUGGUGCAUUUAGAGGGAGAGGGAGAACACGCUGAGACUUGGGAGCUGCUCAGGGAGGAGACCCAAUAUUCAAGCUCCCCUUUUCUGGCGUGAAGCAUCUUGCUUUUCUUUCUAAAGUGUUCCAGGUCCACAGGAAAUAUGGAAACUGCUCCCUUCCUGAGCCUCCUUCAGCCUACUGAAGAUGGAUUGGGCAUUUGGUCAAGCCCAUCAGGUAACUGUGGCUGCUUAGUUCAACAUGGGGCAGUCUGAUGAGACUGAGACUGUAAGUGUGUCACAGCCAUAACAUGGUCAGUGUUGUCUUUGAUCUUCCCUUUGUGCCUUUCCAGUUGAGACAGGAACAUUGCUUUCUGUGAGGCUCUGGUGAGCCCCUUUAGGUAGGAUGUUAGCAAAUGUCCUCUCUUGUUGUCAAGACAGAAUUUAAACUGGUACAGAUGAGGAAACAAGGCUGAUACGUCAGUGAGGGGAAUAGAAAUGCUGUCCUAGAAGAGGAGACUAAAAGCUUGGCUUUGUUUGCCUAGCAAGUGGAAGCUGGGAAGUGAUACCAUUGCUCAGUAUAAAUCCUUCAGGCUGGGGGUAAAGAGCAGGAGAAGAGCUGCUCAAGCCAAAGGACAAAGUUGGCACGCAAGCAAAUGACACGCACUGAAUGGGAGUAAAUUUAAACAGGAAAUUAGGAGUGAGGUGGAGGUGCUGAAGGACCUCCUGUCCCCUGCGUGCGGUGCCAGGAACAUCGAGCCACGUACUUGCAGCAUGACGUGUGGCAGGGCUGCAGCACCAUGUCAGAAAUCCUCUGCUCACAGAGAAAGCUGCAUUGAGUACUGACCUUGAGAGAAACUGUUGUUUGCCACGUGGCCAGAGCAGAGUUUCACACUUGACCUCUUUUGAAUUUCCUUCUUAAUUGUGUUUGAUUUGUAGGAAGCAACGAGUAGGGAAGGGACAAAUAAAUUGAAAAGUUCCAGCUCUACUUCUUAACACUGGGACACGUAAUAGCUCGAUUUGCUAUCAGUUUGCUGGGCUAGUCCUCUACAAGCAAGAGGAAUUUGCCCCCCGGCAAUUUUUCUUCACUAGAACCCUGCAAAAGGAAGUGAGGUUUAAUUAGCAUUUUAAAGUGGACAGCCUUGAAGUUAAUGAUAUUCAAUAAAGAAAAAUUGUUUUAACCUUAUUUGCACUUUUCAAUUUACUUAUUAGAGGCCAUCUGUUAUAUUUUAAGCAAGAGCACUGGGAGCUAAACUCUCAGAUUGUCAAACGAGGCUAAGCAGAAGGGAAAGAACAGGCUGCCUUAAAUGAGCAAUUAGACUGCUUUUCUUAAAUUUCUCAUUUUUGUGUCAAAAAGCAAACGGUCACCAUUUCAAGCAGCAGUAAAGUUGCUCUAAUGACACCCAUUUUUACAGGUGCUCAUCAGCCCUGGGAAAUGUCACUUGUCCUCAGCUCUCAGAUGAGGCCCAGGAAGGAUGAAAUUAGAAAAGUCAGAAGUGAGGUGGAACUGCUGUGGGAGUGAAGGCUAAGAAUAAGGAUUGCUAUAGUGUCGGGAGCUGAGUGACAGAUGCACACUGAUGGAGCACAGUGCAUUGAUUUUUGCUGCUGCAGUACUUUAUGCUCAAAGAAAUACAGCUUUUAAAGCGAUGGAGGACCCCUAUUCAGAGAAAACAGUUGAUCCUACAGACCGGAGUUAAUGUUUGUGCUCUCUGGACCCAAAGCAUGCAACAGCAAAUUCCCCAUUGUCCAUGGAUCUGCCCACGGACACUACUGUUACCAUCCUGGCAGGGUCUAGGGCAACUUUUCUGAAGGAACUGAGGCUCCUCAGCAAUGCUGCUUUUCCAAUGGCAGCCACUCUAAGAAAUUCCUGUUUCCACCUUCCUCAAGCCAUGGCUUUCUGCUCCUGGAUGUCAGCUCCGUUCUUUGAGCUGGGCACUCCUGAACCUGUUGUACUUCAGAAGUUGUAUUUUCCCUGGAGAAGCAGCAGAAACCCAGCCACCAUGUGUUCCUUGUGCUACACCAUGCUAGAGGGAUACAACAACUCAGUGACUGGUGCCAAAUGAUUGUUCCAUGUAUCCGUGCAUCAGUGAUUUGGGGGGUUUGCAGUGCUGGCUGAAAUACGCAGGCCAGCUGCCUGCCGGUGGCAGCAGGAAAACAGGCAGACAAAGCAGAUGGACCCAGCAGGGGUGGAGGAGCGCUGUCUUCAGCGGGCCAUAGGCAUCACUGAAGAGUAAACAGCUCUCGGAAGGGAGCCGGGAGCUAACCCCAAACCCGUCCUCUCCAAAGUACUCAAUCACAGCACAUUAACAAGAGCGCCUGGACUGCUGGGGGAGAGUAAACAAUGAGAGGCCGUGCUGGCGGGAGAGUGGGAAAAGCGCAGCCCCCCUCCAGCUCAGAUUUAUUGUAAGAGGGUGUAAAAAGCAACUCGUGGCUCAGUGUGCUGUCAGCGAGCCGCACUCGUUGUCAAUGCUCAUCUCCUUGUGGGAAAGCCACCCUUUGCCUUCGCGGGUAGAGUGGGCGCCUGCAUGCUGCUGGACACGCAGGGAUGCUCAGAGAGGCCGGGAGGCAGCAGCAGAGGUGAGAGGUGAAACCUUCCCUCCCGCAGGCAAAUAUGCUUCAAUGCUUGUCCUGAACCAGGCAGGGAUAGCACCAGGGCUACGGCUCCUUCAAACCACAGCCACCCAAGUGAGCUGCCCAUUUGGACGAGGGAAGCAUGUCUGAGGACCCAGCGCUAUUGUUCAGAGCAGGAGGGGGUGAUCUCCUCCUGCCCACACCAGCGUGACUUCCUUGGUUUGAGAGCGGCUCCUGAUUUAUGCCCAGGGGCUGGAGCCCGCUCGCCGGGCGCUGCUCUUUCAUCUACAGCAUUGCAGUGAAAUUUGUUUACAGAGCUCUUGGCGCGAUCACAGAUUCUUUCUCCCCUUCCCCCUUUCCUCCGAAUCAGCCACAGUUUUCCCUCUCCUUUGGCUCCCGCUGCAAAACCGAUUGACCUUUCUGGGCUGUGUCUGACACAUGAACCGUGCAAAAUCCUUUCUUCUCCCUGAGCCCCGUGCUUGCUUGGGAACGUGGCCGCCUGGAGCAGUGCAAGCGGGAGCCCUCCAGCAGCCCUUUGCUGCAUUUCUGAGAGCUGCUUCGCUUGUAAUGCUGCGCAUCCUUGAGAGUGGGUGACUGUGUGUGCUGUGGCUGAGCUCCCCAGUGCUCUUUGCAAACAGCGAUGAUAGGAUGAGCUGGAAUGGCCUCAAGUUGUACCAAGGGAUGUUCAGACUGGAUAUUAGGAAAAACUUUGUUCCAAAAGAGCGGUGAUGCAGUGGCACAGGCUGCUCAGGGAGGUGGUGGGGUCAUUGUCCCUGGAGGUGUUCAAGAACUGUGGAGAUAUGGCAGUGAGGGAUGUGAUUGGCGGGCAUGGUGGGAUGGGUUGAUGGUUGGACUGAAUGACCUCAAAGGUCUUUUCCAACCUUAAUGAUUCUGUGAUUUCUAUGAUUCUGUGCCAUUGUCGUGUACCAGCACAACUGAAUUUCAAGUCAGAGACAUAACAAGAGCCAAAAAGAAGUGCCGAAGUGGCCAAGAAUACACUAAAUAACAAAGGCUGCUCCAGCUCAGUUGCAAGACAAGAAGGUCCCAUUUGCACUAAAAGGCAUCAAAUUGCCCCAGAAAAGAAAACCAUACAAACUGAGCCUUCUCUGAAACUCAAGGCACAAAGGUCCUAUGGGGAACCCAACCCUGUCUGGGUGGUGCUCGGCAAGGGGAGCUCUCCUGGGCCGGGCCAUCCCACACAUGACCCAUUCCCACACUCGUGAAUGUCAGCAGAAGAUUUUCAUGAGACUCAGGGAGAGCAGUGAUGUAACUGAACAAUGGGAUCUCCCCCCUUUUUCUGGAAAAAAAUGAGUCUUCAAAUUGAGUAAAAUAUAGAAGUGUUUUCUUCACUUAGACCUCCUACAAGUGAAUUCCUCUGGUGCUGGUGAUGGGCUCCUAUUCUCCCUGGGAAAUACAUCAAUUUGAUUUUCUCCCUCAAAGGAUUAGUCACUGAAAGACAACACCACCCUCUUCCCCCUGGCUUUUCAGUUGCCUCCAGGUGCUUGGGGAAUACCAGUGAAAGGAGCCUCUCCCUGCUUCUUUUCCUACAUUCUCCUUUUAUUUCUCAUGAUUGCUCCCUCUCUGAUCUUUUUCUUUUUUUUUUUUCCUCAAAAGAACACCUUCCUUCCCACCAACAGCACUGCCUGCAGUGGCUCAGCAUGUCCCAGCAUCCAUACUGGCAGUCAUCCCUCCAUUCCCAUCUGAUUCCUCUAUCUGUUGAAUCAAAUUGCUGAUAGCAGCAACAGAGCCCAAGCAUGCAGACCACGCUGCAGGGCAGAUGCAGAACUGCACGCUUGCUGUAAGUGUAGAAUAAUUUGACAUCUACAGCAGAGAGUGGCAGAGCCCCUGACACUGUUUCUAUGGGACUGCUGGUGAUAGGCAGAUCUCCUCAUGGUGUGAUGCAUAUUCAGCAGCCCUCUGUCUCCCCUGGACAUUGAAACAAUUCACUCAGGUGGCUGACAAGAAACACGGUGGGCUCCAAACGUGCCCUGAUGGUCUCACAUGGUGCCCCUCCAUCUCCCCUAGGGCUUAACCCCUAUGACAACAGCUUUUCUCCCAUGACCAAAUACGUGCUCCUGAAUUUGGGGAGGAUGCAUGUGUUUAUCAGAGUUGUGUGAAAUGCUCUACUUCUUCCUUGCAGGAGGACAGAAGAGGAAAUGGUUCAUUUUGAAGAUGUGCCAUGAUAGGCAAUUCGAGCUUGCUUAUCUUUUCACACAUGCCAGCUUGGAUAACCUGGGUGGAAAACUGAAGUGAAGCAAAGACCUCAGCCUCUCACAGCUCUGGCAGCAGUCACCAGUGCCCUGCUGGAGCUGAGCUCUUGGGGAACACCUUGACCCCAGACUAAGGACUGGAGGUGACUGCUACACUGCUGUUUUAGGGAUCUUGAGAACUGUAAGUGCUCUAUUUCCUAGAGCAAACAAAAAAUGCUGCUCCUGUCUGCCCUUCAGAGGCACCCAGGAGGCAUCCAAGUCAGCCCCUAGUUUUGGGAAUGAGUUUGCCCUGUUCCCUGGGAUAUGAUGGUCUGCCACUCAGGAGGAGUUCACAGAGCACGCCAUAUUCCUGACUGCCCAGUAGUAUUCUAUCAGCUCAAUAUAGGCCUGAUGUUGUAUUAAGGAGAAAAGCUUUCCGGCCAGCAGUAGUGAUGCGUGAAGUUUCCUCAUUGACGGACCACAGAAUGCUUUGGGGCUGUUGGAAGAUGGGUUUUGUAUGCAGCACAUUUUGCAUCUCGGUGUUGUUCUCCAGAGCUGUUUGCUAGCAAAUUGCCAGGAUUUGAAAUUCAGGUAGGUUGCAGGAUGAAAAAAUAUCCUUCCCCACAUUGCUAUGACCUUUUUGGUGGUUUAUUUGUUAAAGGCAUUACUGUUCCCCUCGGGAAUGGUGCCUUCCUCUGUUUUAUGCUCUAAGGAUGUGGCUCUUUUCAUGUUUAUCUUUGAUUCAAGCAUUGUAAAGAGCAAUCCCUCGCACUUAUGUGCUUCAUUGUAUUCUGGCCAUGAGAGAUUCUCCCCCACUGUUUGUAGCCUUUUUUCAGUGCAGCUAGUAAAAUAUUUGAACAGAAAAAAGAAAAGAAAAAAAAAAAAAAGAAAAAAGGAAAGAAAAAAAAGAAAGAAAGAAAAGAAAAAGAGACACUAAACAGCUUCCAGCAUUUAGAGGAUAAAAUGAGAUGUAAGGAAAAGGAUGACUGUGGUUAAUGCACAGGGCUGGGAGGCCUCAGAUGGACCACGGCCUCUCUUCGUUUCUCUUCUCACAUCCUCUGUGACUUUGUCUAAGUUAUUUGACCUCCUCCUGCUGUAGCUCUGGGGUGUUAAACACACGCUGUGUUUUCUGCUUGGAAAACCCAAGCUUGCUGUCCCCAGAGAGCUCAGCGCUGCCCCUCUGCUCCCUAUGAGGAGCUGUAUGGCCAUGAGCCCUCAGCAUCCUCUGCUCUGCUCCCAGCAAACCCAGGGCCCUCAGCUGCCCCUCACACCCCUUGUCCUCCCAUGUGAAUGCCUGUCAGCAUGUGAUACAGCCUGGUUUUCUUCCCUGAUUUCAGAUGACACAUGGAAGCUGAUUUGCACAGGGUGGAUGCAAACCAAGGGCUCAUCCACUGAAAAAUAAUUAAGCUUCACUUGGUUACAGCAGGCAAGCUGGAAUACAAAGAUCCUAAGGCUGGUUAUGGGAGGGUGGUUAAGGGGACACCUCCAGUGGGCAAGGGUCUGUUGUAGUCCAGAUAAGCCCUCACAAUUCAGAGUUUUCUUAAAUUUCUGGGGCAUAAUGGCACAGCUGGCGACAGAGCACCAAGUGAAUAUUUGACAUAAAUAAACCAGUGUUCCUACGUGGGAGAAGGGCAGAGGGAGCCUGUGAAUUAAUGAUCAGCUUUUAAUUUGUCCUUUCAUUGGAAUCAAUGAAAAUGUCAGGAUGAUUGAGGUUUAUGUGCUCAUGGGAAAGAUGUGAGCCCAAGAGAAAGAGAUCAAGGCUAUUUUUUAAUAUAUUUGUUUCACUGAGGAAGAUGCUUCCCUUCAUCUCUAAUACCGGAGAAGGAUUUGCUGUGGGUGAAUUCCUGAGAAAGCCUGGGCAGUGUGUAUUGGAACGGGCUGCCCAGGGAGAUGGUGGAGUCACCGUCCCUGGAGGUGCUCAAGAACUGUGGAGACGUAGCACAGGAAGGGAUGUGGUCAAUGGGCAUGGUGGGAUGGGUUGACAGUUGGACUAGAAGACCUUAAAGGUCUUUUCCAACCUUUACAAUUCUAUAAUUCUGUAAUUCAUUCAAGUCUCAGCAGAGACCUGCCACCCUCAAGCUGUGGGCUGCUGGUUGUCCUUGGGCACAGGGUUCAGCCUACCUGGUGCUGGUUUUUCUGGCUGCAGGCAUAUCCUGCUUGCUCACCCCAGUGCCAGAUCUGCUGUGGAAGGCACAGGGCUGGGUGCAGUUCAGGAUGGCAGCAGCAAAAUGAGAGCCUCAAGAUCCUGGUUUGAAAAGGGUGGAUUCUGCUGAUGGAUGUGAAAAGCUGGCACUAAUGUCCUGGAGGCAGAACCACCUUUGGAUCAUGACUGCUGGAAAUACUGAUGUUUGAUCACCUGAAACGGGCACCUCCAUCCUUUUCUUCUGCCAAAACAGGGGAUUCUGCAUCCCUGCAAUGUUCAGCCAUACAAACCUCCUGUUCUAGCCACUCAUUUCUUGUCACAAUGCUAUUAGUAAAGUAGUCAAGUGAGUGGGCAAGGGUUUAGCUUCCUAUAGGAGGAAGGGGGAGCCUGCAGGGUAAACAGUGGCCUGGAGUGGUGGAUUCAUUUGCACGUUGCCUCUGUCUUGAUGGAGGCUUCAUGCAGCCCCUUGGCACUGAGAACGUGUCUGCAAACUGCCAGGCACGCUUUGGCCUAAUUAAAUAUUCAUGGUGACAAAAUGCCACAAACACAGGGGAGUUUUCAGCGAAUGCUUCACCGCAGUUAGCAGACACCCUGCUCACUCCUGCAGGGCUCUUGUGACGCGUUCCCACCCUCCCUCCACACUCACCUGCUCACCUUGCUCUGCACCAAAACCAGGGCAAGGAUGAGCCGGGCUUUUGCAUCUCACAUCUGCUUUGUCUCAGGGCAUCGGUCCCCCAGAUACGUUUAUUUUGUCUUUGAGGGACCUGAUACUGCAGCCAUUGCUCUGCUCUGUGGGUUCUGGAGAUGAGUUGAGGUCUUCUGCAGGUGGAUCACAGCCAGAAUGUGACCCGCAGCUCCUUUCUUCUGCACGUUGGCUCAGGCUGGCUUUUUGUUACAGAAAUGUUGUCAUUCCUGACACUUCCAGACAUGAGCAACGCAACCCCGUUCCUGCCAGCAAACACAGCCCUCAACGAGAGCUUCUGUGAUAACAUCAGCUCCGCUGCUGCUGCUUUGUUUUAGCCUUCUCAGGAACUGACCUCAUAGUUUCCUAAUUUAGAGCUGGUGACACAGAGCACGGGGAACGUGCGUGCUCAACACCUGUGGUGACGAUGCCAGCAGGACACCUUCUGGCAACCUGCCCUGAGCCAAAGCCGUGUGCCAGUGGCUGAUGAGCUUCUCUAGUGGCCCCAGCAGGCAUGGGUUUAACCCAAAUAAGGAUCAACUAUCACACCAACCUGGCAAUAGAAGGGCAGAAGUGAGAGUCGAGGUCCUGGUUGCCAGCUACAUUUCUCAUUUAAGAACAUUUCUCUUUUGAAAUGAUAUGCUUUACUUGCAGAAGGGAGAAAGAUGGAUUUCCAGCUGAUCCCUCAAGUCAGCCUAAUAACCAUCCUACGACCUCUCUGCUCCUCUCUGCUUUAGGGCACAUGCUAAAAGCCUUACUGCUCCACAGUAGUUUACUCAGAGUGAAAGUGUCCCACAAAAUCCUUAUUUUGUCUUCUUUGUCUCCCCACAUCCCUCCCAGCCAUGGGAUUUACAUCCUCUCUGAGCUGCUUGGUCUUUUUAGCUCCUUGUUGUUACUACUCUUGCUGCUCUUGUUAUUGACAUGUCCACCCAGCGUUAAACUUUUAACUUGUAGAGCUGUACCUGGGCAGUGAACGGUGUGCAUGAAUCAUAGAAUGGCUUGGAUUGGAGGUGACCACAAAGACCACCCAUUUCCAACCCCCUGCCAUGGGCAGGGUUGCCAGCCACUAGAAAGCGCUUUAUGUAAAACCCAAGGCAACAGAAAUACUCCAGGGAGCUGAUUUUUAGUGGCUUUAACUUUCCAGCUGGUUAUUUAGCCAUCUUCACCAGAAAGUUGUCUCAGUGAAAUGAGAACUCGCCCACAUUCAGGAUAAACUCACGGUUCUUUCACUUUAGUUUUUUUGGUUUCGGAAAAUGUCGCGCUGUCUGUGGUGGUGGAUGUGUGUGUGUGUUUUAUUUUCCGUGUGUGCCAUCCCUGCAUAUGUCUUGGAUUGCUUCAGAAGCUGUAAUAGCAAAACAAGCUUUUUCUUUAUUCAAAAAUAGAAAUGGAAUGAUCAAACAGCUCAGACUAGGGCUAUGCGUAAUGCUUUAUUUUUUAACCAAUUAUUUAGUAGUUAUCAAUAACAAUAACUAUUAUUACCACGACUCUCUAUGCUCUGGCUUUCCCCAUCACUCCUUAGAGUAUUUGCAAAAUACUGUGAAAGCCCAUUCCUGUUUGUUUUCCGCCCAAUGAGGAUGUUGUGAAUUCUGCUGCAAUCUGCCUGGAGGUUUUGGGAAGCCAAAGACAGCAGUUUGUGCAGUGCACUGGAAGACCACAACCCCGCACAGCUCUGGUAUGGGGGAUGCUGCAGUAAGGCACAGAGUUUGCUCUUACACUGCCUCAGUGGAGAUGUGCAUUUUGUUCAUGCUCAAUUACUGGGUCCUUUAGGUGAAUAUCACAGGGAUGCUUUGAAUUUUGAGCGAGGAGUGCUGGCACUUGCAAAUGUAGCAUAGUGGGAUUGGUUGGCUUGAGCAAGGAGAACCUGAGACCUAAGGAAUAGUAGUUGGUAGCAGACGGCAUCUUCAGUAGAAGUCCUGCAGGAAGGAAGGGAAUCUGCAUAAACCUUUUGUGAAUUUAGGGUAGAAAUCAUUCUAGGCAACUGGUUUUGUUGCAACUGCACUGAUAUUUGAGUUGACAAAGAGGAAAAAACCCCAACUAACUAAAAGUCGUCAGGCUCUGUAUUCUUGGAUGGGGCUUUGUUGAUCUUUCAAGUGGAUUUCCCCCCCUCCCCUUGAAUUUGGCACACUUAGCACAACAGAAGCGAAGAUGAUACGCAUGUUUUAUAACAGUAAUGCACAUAGCAAGUUUAAAGUCAGUUUAUCGAUGUCUCUCCUCCUUUCUCCCUUUUCUGUAUUUUCUGUUGUUCUCCAUAUGAGUUCUGCAGCCUCAGCUGAGAAACUUGAUGUCAUUUUGUUGAGGGAACAGCAAUGACAUUUUCUUUGGACAGAACUGACAUACUUGCAUUUCUGGUGUCCAGGAGAAAAUGACAGCCAGAUAGUUUCUUUCCUGCACAUCACUUCUCAAAUCCUGGCGGUGCCCAUAAGAGCAUUUAUUUAGAAGAAAAUUUACUUUCAGAGGGGAACUGCCACAGCUAAGCCUAAUUACAAGGAGCUGAAUGCAUGCACACUUGGAUGUAAUGGAGACCCCAUGAAAAACAAUAGCUUCUGCUCCCCUAAAGUUGUUGGCUACUGCAGUGGAUGUAUCAUGGGGCACAACAGCUGUGUGCAUUCACAUCUUCAAGCAUCCAAUACAAAAAAGGUUCAUAGUGCCCAGUAUUUCUACAGCAGACAAGGUCAUGCAGUUCACAGCCAGAAAGUUCAGAACUGCAGAGGUGGGGAAGGCAGUCCUAUGCAUAGGUCUUGCUUUAGCAUCUUAAAAGUGAAUGUCGUCCCCAUGAAUACAAUGUCUGUUCAUGAGGCAUAAACCCAAGAGUGGACCACCUUGGCUUGGUGCAUUGGCAACUUCUGGGAUGGCGUCAAAAAGGAUACAGCACUGGUUUUGGUUGUUGGCUGUUGCUUGCUUAGUGUUUUCUACUGAAUUCCAUGAAGCCGAGCUGAGUUACAUCUACCAAAACCAAAUCCAUCUAAUUUUUUCCACUCGCCUCUUAUGUUCGGGCUUGAUGUAUUAUGUCUGGAAGCAAACAGUUAGAAUAAGAUGCAUUUGCUAGAUUGUGUCUUUUCAUUAUCGAGACAGAAGGAAAAGGCAGUUGACAAAGUUUCAGCAGACGGUGCAUAGUUGUUGUUUAUGUUAAACAAAACGAGAAUGUGCAGCAUUCGGGUGUAUAAACAGCAUGACAGCAAUAAGCAUAAAACAUAAGAUUGGAAGCAGAUUUUACUUUCAGGCCUUGGGGAGCAGAUGGAUCUGAGAUCAUUGUGCAUUUGCGUACAACUCCGAGACCUAUAGAAACUCAUUUAUUCCCCAUGUCGAGGCAUUUCACAGGAGUCAAAUGUAGCACGGCUGCAAAUGGAUGCAGCUCCACUGAACAUAAUGGGCUGGACCCAAGCACCUAGAUCUGUCUCUUAAAUUGCUCCAGCAGCACUAAGGGGAUGGAAAGCUGCUUUAGUCUUGCAGUCAGAGAUUGCCUUGUCAUCUUAAUGUUCAGGUGGCAUAAAGAUGAGGCAGCCCCUAUUUGCAUCUGCUCUGUGUGCAGGCUGGAGGCAGCCAAGUGGGAAAGGAGCUGCAGUCAGUGGAGGCUGCUCUUCUGAACUUGCACAGAGGCUGGCUUCCACCCCAUACAUAAGAUAUAUAAAUAUAAAUAUGUACACACAUACAUAUAUAUAUGUAUAUAAAAGAUGCAUUGUAUAUAAAAGAUGCAUAUUGAUAUAUGAAGGCUUAUUAAGAGUGGUGAGGCACUGGCACAGGUUGCUCAAAGAUGUGGUGGAUACUCCAUCCUUGGAGACAUUCAAGGUCAGGCUGGACGGGUUUCUGUGGAGUUGUUGGUGUCCCUGUUCAUGGCAGGGAGGUUGGAAUAGAUGACCUUUGAGGGUUCCUUCCAACUCAAACAAUUCUACAAUUCUGUGAUUCUAAUUUUUCCUCGUUUGCUCUUUUCUUACCCCAUCCCUGAAUUCGCACCACGCUGAGCACAGCUGGCAGUGGAGAGGUGGCUCAUGGAAUGGAGUCACAGCCGUUUGUACCUGUGUGCUUCAGGACUGAUGCUCUAGGACAGAACAGCACUCAAGCCCACUCUCUGUACAAUGGUAGAGACAGAGACAUCAUUUCUCAGUUUCAGAGGGCCAACUGGAUCACUUCAAAGGCUGCCCUGAUUCGACACUUGCAGAGGCAGGAGCGCACAGGUUGCCCAUUGUGUAUGGCCCCGAUUCCCUGGCAGAACUGCGUCAUUGAAGUGAAGGACAUAAUGAGGGAUUUCAGUCCCAAGCAGAGACCAUCCAAGCAGGUGGGAAAGCGAUGGGCCAGCGUCCAACCUUCAGAGCACAGACCAAAGAGAAGCUGUUUUAAAUAGCAACAAUGGCUCUAAUCCCCCGGCAGGAUGGAGAGAUGCAGAUUGGUAAAGGGAAGAAAAGGCAGAAAAUAGCAACUGCAGAAAGUGUGUAUAUGUGAGAAUCCCUUUCAGGAUGCGUUAAUAGGAUGCAGUGAAUAGGAAGAAGAGACCCCAGAGCGUGUUUAAAACAGAUUCCUGGUAUAAUAUGAACCACUGUAAUGAAGUGCUGUACAAAAGAAAUAAUAAAAAACUAUCACUGUAGUCCGUA